GACACUGCCGCCAGGACGGCUUCAUCGCCGCGGGCUGGCCCCCGGCAGGCUGCGCUGCCGCGGUCGGAGGGAGCGCUUCUCCGGCGAGCACUGGGGCGCUCUCGACUUCCUGCGGUCCCGGGGAGCAGGCGGGAGGCGGCGGCAGACCGAGGUGUGAAGUAUAUCAUCACAUAUUUUCUCAAGGAGAAAUGUCUGUAUAUGUGGAAAACAUACUGAGUCACUGAAUUUUUCACAUUUCUAUAUGAGAUGUGUUGAUGCAGACUGUGACAUGGCAUGGAUUGUUCAAAUAAAUUGUUUCCUGCAUAUCAGACUGGGGCAGAAGAUACAAUUGGAAGACUUCAAGGACCUAAGAGACAAUAAGGCACUGCAUAGAAGAAGCCUGAAUCCUUGAGCUAUUACAUGGAACAGAGUUCCCAUACUAAUCUACACUGUAACAUAGACAAUAAAUAAACCUUUACUGUAUUAAACCA